rnacentral:rRNA from 1 species
AUUGAACGCUGGCGGCAGGCCUAACACAUGCAAGUCGAGCGGAGCGGCGGACGGGGGAGGAAUGCCUAGGAAUCUGCCUGGUAGUGGGGGAUAACGUCCGGAAACGGGCGCUAAUACCGCAUACUAUCAGAUGAGCCUAGUUCGGUUUAGCUAGGUGGGGGGGUAAAGGCCUACCAAGGCGACGAUCCGUAACGUGUCUGCGAGGAUGAUCAGUCACACUGGGACGGAGACACGGUCCAGACGCCUACGGGAGUCAGCAGUGGGUAAUAUUGGACAAGGGGCGGAAGCCUGAUCCAGCCAUGCCGCGUGUGUGAAGAAGGUCUUCGGAUUGUAAAGCACUUUAAGUUGGGAGGCGUUACCAACAGAAUAAGCACCGGCUAACUUCGUGCCAGCAGCCGCGGUAAUUC